ACUUAUCGGUUACUCACACCCACGCACACUGCCCAGCUAUGCUAUAAACCUCUUAGCUCAAGCUCCAGCAGCAGCCCAGCUCAAGCCUGGAAGCUCACCUCCAGCUCAACUCUUUCUGCAAAGUGUUUGGAACUUAGUUGUACACUGAAGGUCGUAAGUAACACAAUUCUGGCAGCAUCAAUCCCACAAUUCCCCGUUCCUGUUUACAAGACCUGCAUCCCAUUUCCUUUUCUACUGCUUGUAACUAGAAACAAUCCCAGAAACAAAAUUUUCUGCAGACUGAUUUUAAGAAGGGAUCCACAAGGAAAUCAGACACAGCUUGGUGCCAUGCUCAAGAGUGUAACUUGCAGCUUCACUUCUCUGCAAUCCCAGAUGCCUGGGUCCAUGCAGAGUCAGACCAUGAAAGCAACAUCCAGGGACUUUUUAAAGUCAUAAAGAAGGUGUCCAAAGCCCACACUUGCAGAUUUGAGGCAACGUUGGAUUUCUUCAUUGAUGUCAACAUUCUGUGAGAGAUGGCUUCUGAGGUACGAGAAACAACCUUCUCCAGCGUCUCGCUGUGGAUCUAGAUUGUCGGAGCUGGGGAUUAUUCAUAAGAGGCAUUUUUAGAUGUGCACAUAAUGCAGCACCAGGCACGUUUGAAAGCGCCCGGCACCGUGACACACACUUUUGUAUAAACAGUGAAAUAUACGUCAGUGCUGAGAAAAUGUUAGUGGUGGUGUGCUUUGAACUAAAACUCACUGAAGAUGUUUUAGUUCAAAAUUGCACUGCUGCCAUUUUUCCAGAGCUGAUGCACAUUUUGCUGUUUAUACGAAUGCAUGUGAU